rnacentral:rRNA from 1 species
GAACGGCAGCACAGCAGUAGCAAUACUGUGGGUGGCGAGUGGCGGACGGGUGAGUAAUGCAUCGGGACCUGCCCAGACGUGGGGGAUAACGUAGGGAAACUUACGCUAAUACCGCAUACGUCCUACGGGAGAAAGCGGGGGAUCGAAAGACCUCGCGCGGUUGGAUGGACCGAUGUUCGAUUAGCUAGUUGGUGAGGUAAUGGCUCACCAAGGCGACGAUCGAUAGCUGGUCUGCGAGGAUGAUCAGCCACACUGGGACUGAGACACGGCCCAGACUCCUACGGGAGGCAGCAGUGGGGA